rnacentral:tRNA from 1 species
AAAUCCUGUAGUUUAUAUAAAAUAUUAAAUUGCAAACUUAAAGAAAAAAAUAUUUUAGGAUUUG